AGGGUUUGAUCAUGGCUCAGGAUGAACGCUAGCGGGAGGCCUAACACAUGCAAGCCGAGCGGUAUUGUUUCUUCGGAAAUGAGAGAGCGGCGUACGGGUGCGGAACACGUGUGCAACCUGCCUUUAUCUGGGGGAUAGCCUUUCGAAAGGAAGAUUAAUCCUCCAUAAUAUAUUGAACGGCAUCGUUUAAUAUUGAAAGCUCCGGCGGAUAGAGAUGGGCACGCGCAAGAUUAGCUAGUUGGUGAGGUAACGGCUCACCAAGGCGAUGAUCUUUAGGGGGCCUGAGAGGGUGAUCCCCCACACUGGUACUGAGACACGGACCAGACUCCUACGGGAGGCAGCAGUGAGGAAUAUUGGUCAAUGGGUGCAAGCCUGAACCAGCCAUCCCGCGUGAAGGACGACUGCCCUAUGGGUUGUAAACUUCUUUUGUAUAGGGAUAAACCUACCCUCGUGAGGGUAGCUGAAGGUACUAUACGAAUAAGCACCGGCUAACUCCGUGCCAGCCGCCGCGGUAAUAC
rnacentral:rRNA from 1 species